GACGAACGCGGGCGGCGUGCCUAAUACAUGCAAGUAGAACGCUGAAGGAGGAGCUUGCUUCUCCGGAUGAGUUGCGAACGGGUGAGUAACGCGUAGGUAACCUGCCUGGUAGCGGGGGAUAACUAUUGGAAACGAUAGCUAAUACCGCAUAAGAGUGGAUGUUGCAUGACAUUUACUUAAAAGGUGCAAUUGCAUCACUACCAGAUGGACCUGCGUUGUAUUAGCUAGUUGGUGGGGUAACGGCUCACCAAGGCGACGAUACAUAGCCGACCUGAGAGGGUGAUCGGCCACACUGGGACUGAGACACGGCCCAGACUCCUACGGGAGGCAGCAGUAGGGAAUCUUCGGCAAUGGACGGAAGUCUGACCGAGCAACGCCGCGUGAGUGAAGAAGGUUUUCGGAUCGUAAAGCUCUGUUGUAAGAGAAGAACGAGUGUGAGAAGUGGAAAAGUUCACACUGUGAACGGUAUUUUAACCA
rnacentral:rRNA from 1 species